rnacentral:lncRNA from 1 species
UUUUUUCUUUUUUUUUUUUCGAGAUAAGUAUGGUAAAGAAGGAGGAGGAGGAGCAGAAGGGGCAGGAAGGAAAGGAGGAAGAGACGAACUUCAUUGCCUACUAUGGGCAGUUGGGUAUGAGAUAGCUCUGAGGGAGUUUCAUACAGUGUGGAAGUCGGUAAAUGUUUUCUUGUAAGUCCAAGAGCAGAUUAUAUAGGGUACAGCAAGCUGAUGAACCUUGUUAUUGGUUUUGAAUAGGGCAAAGAGAAUACAGUCACUGGUAACCUGUGGGAUCAGAAAAUGCCUGCUUUCUUACCCCUGCCUAUUGUUCAUUCUCCUCUGCAUAUAACUAAUGGAUUGUUCUCCUUUUUAUGACCUAAAAAACCUACCAUGCCAAUUUUUGUGUACAUCUGGAACAAGGGUUAUAUAAAUAUUAUUAUGACUAGGAAUAAAUUGCUCAAUAAUAGAUGAAUAAAAAUACCAAAAUAGGAUUGAUUCAACCUUUAACUUUUUUUUAAGUCUCUAAUGUGACUUUUCAUGGCAUCUAGUCCCAUCCUAGUUGUCAUAACUUUGACAAAUCUGCACGUGAGGACUAUGAAAAGAGGUGAGUUGUUAUUACAUGUGAACAAGUAUCCGACUAUCUAUGCAAAGGUUUACAGAAUCACCCACCCAUGGUAAUUUUCCAUCCUUCAACAAUUUUAAAAGCAAUUCAUAGGGAAAAAUGGAGGUCACCUAAUAUGUGGGAGACAUUAUGACUAUAUAAGAAAAUGUUCCAUUAACUUGGAUUAGGGACUACACCUUUUAAAAUCAUUGAUCCAUAAUAAAAAAAAAAAUCACACUUGCAUAAACAUUAUCCCUCAAAACUCAAACAGUGAAAUCAGAAAAUAAUUUAAAACUUUUUCAUUCAAUAUUAAGCCUAAAUCUCAAUUUUAAAGUAACUUCUUAAAAUAUUAUCAGAAACUAAUUUUUACACUGUUUCAGUUCCAUUGGUUGUUUAUAAAGUUUCAUACCUCAUUGGAAAAAUGCAUUUUUAUUUUAAAAAUUAUGUAUUUUAAAAUUUUAAAAUAAUUUUAAAAUAAUUUUAAAAUUAUGUAUUUUAUGUAUUAUGUAUUAUGUAUUAUGUAUUUUAAAAUUAUGUAUUUUAAAAAUUAUGUAUUUUUACUCAUCUGUUACAAUAUAUUUGUAAAGUAAUUUUUUAUGCUGUUAUUUAUAAUUAAUGAAAAAUAGGAAAUAAGUGAAGAGGUACAGAAGAAUAGAGAAAUAAAUUACUACAUAAAUCUAUAAAUGAAAUAUCAUAGGUUUCAACAAAAUUAUAUCUGGGAGUUGGGGGUUAUUGUUUUUCUGCAUUUGCCAAGUUGUCUGUAGUCACAAAAAUUAUAAAAUGAUAAAUGACUUUCUUAUAAACACAUUUAUACAUUUAUAAACAUAUUUGUUAUAUUAUUAUGUUAAUCAUUUUACUCAUUCUAAGGGAUUUUGACAACUACAUAAAGUUCAUGUGAGGUGAAGAUAUUAUAUGGAUAGAAUACAUUUAUAAUCAAUUAUAAUAGUUCUAAGAUACACACUAUUAUUUGUAAGAAAAUAGUGAAAAAUUGAAAAAAAUUAGCAUAGUAUCAAGAUAGUUAUAAUUUUUAUUCACAAACUGUUUCUUCUGCAGAGUUAAUGUUUCAAAAUCAUAACAUUUUUGAACUGUAUGAAGUGGUAAGAUUUUCAUUUAACAAAGCCAUAAUGAACUUCUCUAAGUUAAUCAAAAAAUAUUUCUUAAAUUAUAACCAUUCAGGAGUUCCUGAACUCAUGUGUAAGGCUCAGAAAUGGUAGAUGUUUCUAGGACAUAGUUUAAAAAAAAUGAAACUGGUAAUUGAGAUUGUGUAGACAGAUUCAAAAUCAUAUCUGGAAAAUUAAUUUUCCUGACCUAAGAAUUAAAUAUAUAUAUUUUAACAGAAUCCAGUACCUUUCUAAAGCAUUUAACUUGUCCCAUUAUAGGACACUAAGCCAAACAGUCCUCCAGGGGAGAUUGCUUUAUGCCUCUACAUGGAAUCAAGUUAAUAAUUUACUCCUUUUUGUUAGCUCCACAGGCAUGAUCCCAUGUAGACAGAUGUGUAAUAUGUUUUUGUAGACAGAUGUGUAAUAUGUUUUAUCCAAUUUUCCAAAGAUGCAAUGUUCUACUUUCCAUACUAAAUAUUACUGUAUAAUUUCCCUACACAAAUUACUUUAGAGAGUAUUAUUUCCAAGUUUAAAAAGUACAAUUAUUUUGCAAAUUAUAUAAUGAAAUUUUUCAACCUUUUAAAAUAAUUAUUUUACAUAGACCUCUAUUAUUCAUAUAAUGUACCACCUUUAGGAAAAAUACGUCAGGAACAAAAUAAUUUACAGCUUCUAUUAACUUUUUCUUGGCCUUUGUUCUGUAGAUGGUAGCCAAUAAUAUGAUAAAUAAAAUGUGAAACACAAAAAGGAAAAUGAAAAAUUAUUUAAAAAGCAGAUAUAUAUUUUUCACUAUUGUGGGGUGGUAUUAAUGCCUAAUAAAAAUAAAUUUAAAAACCAUAGAAAUUACAAUUAAUUAUCCACAGAGCCACUCUACAAAAAGGGAAUGACCAGUAAACAAGAAUACUCUUCUAUAUGAGGAAUAGCCAGUUGGAAAAUAAUGUAAUAAAACACAUGGUAAGAAAAAUAUAAAAACGAGCCAAGAAACUUAUAGAAAUUAUACAAAAAUUCAAAUAUGUAUUAGAAAUAUAAGAUAAAAUUAGAAUAAGAAAAAAUGAUAUAGUUACAUGGAGAAAGAAUUGAUAUUCUAAAGAUGGCAAUUAUUUAUAAACAUAAUGGUAAGUCUCUUGAGAACUCCAAAUGGAUUGGGUAUGAUAAGGGACCAGUUUGAAUAAAGAAAAAGGAAACUUGAUAAAGAUUCUACAUUUAAUCUGGAAAAAUAAAACAGACAAAAUUGUUAAGAAAAUAUUUAAAAACAGUGACCAGUGGAAGAUUAUUUGCAAAUAUGGUUGCAAUAAUUCCUUCUAUUCUCAUAUGCAUUUUGCCUUAUGACUUUGCCAGUU